ACGGGUGAGUAACGCGUAGGUAACCUGCCUGGUAGCGGGGGAUAACUAUUGGAAACGAUAGCUAAUACCGCAUAAUAGUAGAUGUUGCAUGACAUUUGCUUAAAAGGUGCAAUUGCAUCACUACCAGAUGGACCUGCGUUGUAUUAGCUGGUUGGUGGGGUAAAGGCCUACCAAGGCGACGAUCAGUAGCGGGUCUGAGAGGAUGAUCCGCCACACUGGGACUGAGACACGGCCCAGACUCCUACGGGAGGCAGCAGUGGGGAAUUUUGGACAAUGGGGGCAACCCUGAUCCAGCCAUGCCGCGUGUCUGAAGAAGGCCUUCGGGUUGUAAAGGACUUUUGUCCGGGAAGAAAAGCGCGAUGUUAAUACCAUUGCGUGCUGACGGUACCGGAAGAAUAAGCACCGGCUAACUACGUGCCAGCAGCCGCGGUAAUACGUAGGGUGCGAGCGUUAAUCGGAAUUACUGGGCGUAAAGCGGGCGCAGACGGUUACUUAAGCAGGAUGUGAAAUCCCCGGGCUCAACCUGGGAAUUGCGUUCUGAACUGGGUGGCUAGAGUGUGUCAGAGGGGGGUAGAAUUCCACGUGUAGCAGUGAAAUGCGUAGAGAUGUGGAGGAAUACCGAUGGCGAAGGCAGCCCCCUGGGAUGGCACUGACGUUCAUGCCCGAAAGCGUGGGUAGCAAACAGGAUUAGAUACCCU
rnacentral:rRNA from 1 species